CGCUGAAACACAAUUAUUAACGCCGAACUAGAAUCCCGCAGAUCUCAACCUCAAUUCGCGAUCCCUAUACUUUCUAAAGAAAUCCCCAAUUACUUUCUUUCCCUACUCAUGCUAUCAUUGCAGAUAGCAUAUCGAUUUAACGAAAUUACCAAUCAUGUCGAAGAUACAACUUCCGAUAGACUUGACUUAAGCUCCUUCUUGUUCAAAUCCAACCUUGGCACUGAGACUACGCUCCCAUUCCACACAAUCAUUUUGGUCCCGUUCGAACCGGAUUGCUGCGUUUAUUUGGAGACUUAUAUUGGGAAAUACUCGAGAGAGUUCAUCUUGUGACUUUGUCUCUCCAUUGUGACAAACACUGAAGCAGUUAACUAUGCGCCACAACAAAAACGAUCCUAGGAAAUCGAAGGGAGAUUUGCCUUAUGUUUGUAGAAUAUGUCGACACCCACAUGCACUAAGAAAAUGCAGCCGUUUUUUGGAUAUGAACAUAACCCAAAGGGAAAGUAUUGUGAAAACCUACGGAUACUGCGUCAAUUGUUUAGCUCACAACCAUUCCGAAGGUUCAUGUUUCAC